GUAGGUGGCAAGCGUUGUCCGGAAUUAUUGGGCGUAAAGCGCGCGCAGGCGGUUCUUUAAGUCUGAUGUGAAAGCCCACGGCUCAACCGUGGAGGGUCAUUGGAAACUGGAGAACUUGAGUACAGAAGAGGAAAGCGGAAUUCCACGUGUAGCGGUGAAAUGCGUAGAGAUGUGGAGGAACACCAGUGGCGAAGGCGGCUUUCUGGUCUGUAACUGACGCUGAGGCGCGAAAGCGUGGGGAGCAAACAGGAUUAGAUACCCUGGUAGUCCACGCCGUAAACGAUGAGUGCUAAGUGUUAGGGGGGUUUUCAGCCCCCUUAGUGCUGCAGCUAACGCAUUAAGCACUCCGCCCUGGGAGUACGGCCGCAAGGCUG
rnacentral:rRNA from 1 species